AAUGAACGUUGGCGGCGUGGAUUAGGCAUGCAAGUCGAGCGAGAACCGUAGCAAUACGGGGACAGCGGCGCAAGGGACAGUAAUGUGUAGAUCAUCUGCCCUCAGGUCCGGGAUAGCUGCGGGAAACUGCAGGUAAUACCGGAUAACAUCCCCGGAUCAAAGGUGUGAUUCCGCCUGAGGAUGAGUCUACAUCCUAUUAGCUAGUUGGUAGGGUAACGGCCUACCAAGGCGAUAAUGGGUAGCGGGUGUGAGAGCACGACCCGCGUCAUUGGGACUGAGACACUGCCCAGACACCUACGGGUGGCUGCAGUCGAGAAUCUUCGGCAAUGGACGCAAGUCUGACCGAGCGACGCCGCGUGUGGGAUGAAGGCCUUCGGGUUGUAAACCACUGUCAGAGGGGAUGAAAUGCAGGUGGGUUCUCCCAUCUGUUUGACAUAGCCUCAGAGGAAGGACGGGCUAAGUUCGUGCCAGCAGCCGCCGUAAGAC
rnacentral:rRNA from 1 species